GACGAACGCUGGCGGCGUGCCUAAUACAUGCAAGUAGAACGCACAGUUUAUACCGUAGCUUGCUACACCAUAAACUGUGAGUUGCGAACGGGUGAGUAACGCGUAGGUAACCUGCCUGGUAGCGGGGGAUAACUAUUGGACACGAUAGCUAAUACCGCAUAAUAUUGAUUAUUGCAUGAUAAUUGAUUGAAAGAUGCUAUUGCAUCACUACCAGAUGGACCUGCGUUGUAUUAGCUAGUAGGUGAGGUAACGGCUCACCUAGGCGACGAUACAUAGCCGACCUGAGAGGGUGAUCGGCCACACUGGGACUGAGACACGGCCCAGACUCCUACGGGAGGCAGCAGUAGGGAAUCUUCGGCAAUGGACGAAAGUCUGACCGAGCAACGCCGCGGGAGGGAAGAAGGUUUUCGGAUCGUAAAGCUCUGUUGUAAGAGAAGAACGGGUGUGAGAGUGGAAAGUUCACACUGUGACGGUAUCUUACCAGAAAGGGACGGCUAACUACGUG
rnacentral:rRNA from 1 species